CAUUAAAACACCGGUUCCCACACGAUCACUGAAGUUAAGCAACAUCAAGCCGGGUCAGUACCUAGAUGGGUGACCACCUGUGAAUACAAGAUGCUGUAAG